rnacentral:tRNA from 1 species
GGGUCCGUGGUCUAGCCCGGUUAUGAAUUACUGCAUUGCGAUUCAGUAAUUAACAAACGUUUCCUUCACGAAUAAUCUUGAGAAUGGAGAAAAUCCUGGGUUCAAAUCCCGGCGGGCCCA